GCAGUGGUGGUUCAGUGGUAGAAUUCUUGCCUUUUGUGCAGAAGAUUUGGGUUCAAUUCCCAGCCAGUGCA